UUAUCAUUGUGACUUGUCAUGCAUUUCGUAAACCUAACGAUAGUGAUCUGUAAGUAAUUUUGGUGAAAAAUGUUUCUGACUGAAUGUAAGCACGGGCACUGGAAGUUAAUGUAAAUAUAUAGUAUGUGUAUGUAUAAAAAAGACCCUUCUUUUUUAUACAUACACAUACUAUAUUAUUUAUAUUAACUUCCAGUGCCCGUGAAUGUAAGCGGUUACAUGUUAGGCUAAAGGCAUUACUAUUUUUUAUGAUUUGUAUACAGGUAAGUAAUUUUGGAUAAAUUUGUUUCUGAAUGAACGUAAACAUUACAUGCUAGGCUAUUUUUUAAAGGCAUUAUUGGUUUUCCUUUUGUGGUUACGUACUGAUAUGAAAGUGAAAGUAGAAACCUUGAAACCAUUGUGACUGUCAGUUGGUGUUUAUGUAUGUUGAGAUGGCUGUCAAGUCGAUUUUUUCAUCAACUUAAUAACAAGUGUUUGUUUUUAUGGCCUAUAGAUGCAUGCAGUAACUUGAGUUCAGUGUCACAUUGCUGCAUCUAAAAAGCCCAAAGCUGGUAAGACUGGCGAUUGAUCCUAAAGCUGAUUUGACAGAGGAUUGCAUCUUCACAAUAUUAAAGGUUCAAUAUACAGUCAGCGUCUCAUAAGAAUAAAUCCCAAGAUCCAAGACUUGCUUAAAAGCUUAAUUAAGAGACCAUUCUGUGCCACAAAGAAAUUGUUCAGGAAAGGGAGAAAUGGUGGAUAUGCAUUUUGGGUACAGUUCAAAGAGAGUUCAAAAUGGUCAAGCUCAUGGAAGAUCAGAGGGAGGACAACUGAAGAAAACUGAAAGAUACAGAAGGAAAAAGAACAAGAAAAUAUAUGAAAUAAUUAUGAAAUUGGGAGGAUGUACACAAUCUUGUCUGCAUUUGACCUGUAAAGAUUUAAUUCCCAUUCUUAUUUGUAUGCUGUAAUAUCAAAUAACUUGAUUUUUCAUAAAUUUACAAUAGAGAAUACAUGACAAAUGUUAUAUGUGAUAUUUCAAUUUUGCUUUGGACACUUUCAUGUCAAAUCAUAUAAAUUA